CUCGUACUGGAGAGCAAUUAGUUUAUCUUUUCGCACUGGAGAGCAUACCCAUAUGGGUGUCGGAGAAUUGAUUUACCCUCUCGCACUGGAGAGCAAUUAGGUUAUCCUCUCUCACUAGAAAGUGUAAUACCCUGAAAAUUUUAAAAUAUAUGAUUAUGUGGAAUUUUGUUUUUUUGGAAUGUGAAAUGACGAAAAUGUCCCUCGUUGACUAAACGUAAUUAUACGAGGACGUAUUUUAUCCUUAUAUAUUUUAUCAUAUUUCUUGGCAUAUUUGGAUCAAGCUCGGUCUCACGAGCUAGUAGGCGAAAACCGUUCAUGAAACUGAAUUAUAACGAAUAAGUUACGAGCAAGCAAAGUUUGGGGUAAAAUGGUAAUUUGACCAUAACCUAGAAGGCUCUAGAAAAUCUGGAGCAAGGAGAUGAUGCCACAUGUAUGGCUGUAAAGGAAGGAAGAGGAAAGAAAAUAGGGGGUUGCAGCUAAUCGAGGAAGAGAUGAGAAGAGAGAACCAGAU
rnacentral:lncRNA from 1 species